AUUAAAUUAAAAUUUCCCACCCAGCCUCCCUACCUGGAGAGCUGGCGUGGGUCUCUCAUUGGUGGUCCAGUGGGGCUGCUGGGAGGCGUGCGGCUGAAUUGGAUUCCGAGGUGGCGAGGGAGCUCUGAUCUCUCUGGUCUGCUCCCUCGCAGGCUGUUUGCUGAUGCCGCGGGAGCCGGAAUAUGACGUCAUCAGUAAACAGCCUG